CGGAACCCCACGUCUGAUAUACUGCUGUCUGCGGGGAGUUACAAUGGAUUUAAUAGCUGAAUUUACUGCAAUCUGCCUGCACUUUAAAUGUAUCUCUCCAAGGCACUGGCCCUUUCCAAGGCACUGUAACGACUGCAAGCUCAAGUCCAAUCCUGAAAGAAAGUUUAGACGCAUGGGAAUCUGAAUUCAUCUUUGUACACCCUGCACAAUACCUUACACAAAGAAAGAAUUCAAUAAAUACUUACAGAUAAAGAAAUAAUAAUGAAACAUACAGAAACACACGGCCGUCACUGCAGUAGAGGACACUGGAACCCAGCAGAUUCACAUCUGCUAGUCGUGAGAUCCUCUCUACAGUUCUCUCAAGCUGCAUGCUGGAGGCAGUGAUGUCUACCUGUGAAUGGUGCUCUAAGAAAAUGAUUAUCGUGAGACUCACCGGGGAACUUUCACAAGGAAGUCCCUCCCUGACACGCAUCAACCGUGAAGCAUCUAACCAGCCUUCACCCUCUGUAACUGUAGUGCAAGGUUAACAGUUGGUAGACAUCAUCCCCAGGGGGAACAUGGAAGCUACAUAUUAGAGAUGACAUCAGCCCAGGCAGGCGCCUGAGUAACUGAAGACUCAUGGCAGCUCCACCAUGAUAGGACAUGACUUCACCUGCCCAGUACUGUUGGAUGAGCAAGAAAUAAAUUUGUACCACAUUUGAGCCAUUAUAUAUCUGUGGUCCUCUUUGUUAGAGCAGCUAGCUUACCUAUGU